GUGUUCUCUUCAGCAGCACAUAUACUAAAAUUUAAAUGACACAGAGAAGAUUAGCAUGGCCCCUAAGCAAGGAUGACAUGCAAAGUAACUUUGCCAAAUUAUU
rnacentral:snRNA from 1 species